rnacentral:rRNA from 1 species
CUACGGGAGGCAGCAGUGAGGAAUAUUGCACAAUGGGCGAAAGCCUGAUCCAGCAAUGCCGCGUGAGUGAUGAAGGCCUUAGGGUUGUAAAGCUCUUUUACCCGGGAAGAUAAUGACUGUACCGGGAGAAUAAGCUCCGGCUAACUCCGUGCCAGCAGCCGCGGUAAUACGGAGGGAGCUAGCGUUGUUCGGAAUUACUGGGCGUAAAGCGCGCGUAGGCGGCUUAUCAAGUCAGGGGUGAAAUCCCGGGGCUCAACCCCGGAACUGCUCUUGAAACUGGUUGGCUAGAAUCCUGGAGAGGCGAGUGGAAUUCCGAGUGUAGAGGUGAAAUUCGUAGAUAUUCGGAAGAACACCAGUGGCGAAGGCGACUCGCUGGACAGGUAUUGACGCUGAGGUGCGAAAGCGUGGGGAGCAAACAGGAUUAGAAACCCUGGUAGGCC